UGGCAAGUAAACCCGCUGAAUUUAAGCAUAUAAGUAGGUGGAGGAAAAGAAACCGAAUGGGAAUCUCUUAGUAAUGGCGAAUGAAAGGAGAUGUGCUUAGUGUCAAAAUCAGAUCUGUCUGACUUGUAGGCUGUAGGGGCUUUGCCAACUUGGGUGCAGGUGCAAGUCUCUUGGAAAGGAGCACCAGUGAGGGUCAAGGUCCCGUCUGGCAUCUGUCAUCCCUUGUAGACGGUCUGCCCAUUGAGAGUCGUGUUCUUCUGGAGUAGAGCGCCAAUUGGGUGGUACUCUUUGCCCAAGGAGGAUUACGUGCUUGAGACCAAUAGUGAACAAGUACCAUGAGGGAAGGGUGAAAAGGACUUUGGAAAGAGGGUUAAGAGGGCAUGAAGCUGCUGGAAGGGAAGUGGAUUGGACUUUUACAUUGCAGCAAGAUUGCAGGCUGUGAUCUUCACUUGUGGAGCAUCGCGUCUUGUGUCUCUUGCCGCUCGGUUGGGUUUUGCGUUGCGCGCCCAGAAUCUAAGCUUUGACUGGCAGAAGGAUCGCGAUCUGGACCAUGUCAUUGCCAACUUUUGGCGUAGCAUUCAACCUUGACCAAAAGGUUCAAUUUUACCCGUCUUGAAACACGGCCCAAGGAGUCUAUUGCGUGUGCAAGUGCAAGGGCAUCACACCCGACAGCUCAACAAAGGUGACUGCUGGGAUCUCUGCACCAGCAACCAACUGAUCGCUUAGGAGAUGUUUGUGUAUGAGCACACUUGCUAGGACCCGAAAGGUGGUGAACUAUGCCUGAGAAGGGUGACGUCAGGGGAAACUCUGAUGGAAGCUCGUAGCGCUACUGACGUGCAAAUCGUUCGUCUGACUUGGGUAUAGGGGCGAAAGACUAAUCGAACCAUCUAGUAGCUGGUUCCCUCCGAAGUUUCCCUCAGGAUAGCUGGAGCAGAACAGUUUUAUCAGGUAAAGCGAAUGAUUCGAGGCAUUGGGGGUAUGUUACCCUUGACCCACUCUCAAACUUUUAAUGGGUAAGCUCCACUGGUUGCUUAGGUGACGCAGGGGGAGGAAUAACAGCUCUAAGUGGGCCAUUUUUGGUAAGCAGAACUGGCGAUGAGGGAUGAACCUAGCAUUGGGGUAAAGUGCUUGACUGCUCGCUCAUGUGACACCACAAAGGGUGUUGGUUCAUACUGACAGCAGGACGGUGGUCAUGGAAGUUGAAAUCCGCUAAGGAGUGUGUAACAACUCACCUGCCGAAUGGACUAGCCCCGAAAAUGGAUGGCGCUGAAGCGGGUGACUGAUACCCAAUCAUGGCUGCAAGCACAGUAGCUUUGAGUAGGAGGGCAUGGUGGUUGCAGUGCAGCCCACACGUGAGCAAGGGUGAAGGAACUUCCAGUGCAGAUCUUGGUGGUAGUAGCAAUUUUUCAAAUGAGAGCUUUGAAGACCGAAGAGGAGAAGGGUCCCAUGUGAACAGAAUUUGGACAUGGGUUAGUCGAUCCUAAGAGUCUGGGUCCUCUGUGAAAGCAGGCUUUGCUGCAAUACUCGAAAGGGAAUGGGGUUAACAUUCUCCAACCAGGGUGCGGAAUUUGUGCGGUGACGUUGGCUUCGUUUGGUGACGCGGGGGGGAGCCCUUGGAAGCGAUGUCUUUUCUUGUUUACCCCUCCACACCCUGGAAACAGUCUGCCUGGGGAUAGGGUUGGUUGGUGGGUAUAGCACUUCGCCCUCAGAGGUGUCUGGUGAGCUCCUCACUGCCCUUGAAAAGCUGAACGUAGCGUUUUUCGUCCCUGUUCGUACCCAUAGCCGCAUCAGGUCUCCAAGGUUAGCUGCCUCUGGUCUCUAGGGCAAAGUAGGUAAGGGAAGUCGGCAAAGUAGAUCCGUAACUUUGGGAAAAGGAUUGGCUCUGAGGGUUGGGCCUAGGGGUCUCUUGGUUAAUAUUGCGGCUGCUAGA
rnacentral:rRNA from 1 species